rnacentral:lncRNA from 1 species
GGGAAAUCCUAGGUCUUGAGGGCAUCGUUUUUGGAGUUUGCUCACACUACAAGAAAUCUGUUAAUACAUGACGGAUUCAAUAUGUCACAGAUAAGCACAAAACUAUCGUGGAGAUCCAUGUGUGACGGAUUUAAAAUCCGUCAUGUAUAUCGCGUCAUAAUUUGAUCAUCAUCCACUCCAUGGCAGACUACGUAAACCGUCAUGGAUCUGUGACGGAUAUCGACCGUCACAAUCACCUAACUGAUAACAGCGUUAACACUCCAGCCACGUCAUCAUCUGACAUGGCCACCAACAUGGAUCAGACGUGGCAGCCCAUGUUAUAAUCAGCCCAGGUAGAAUUUUGGCCCAUGGGUUUUAAUUCCAGCCCAUAUGAUAAUCAGCCCAAUGAUGUUGGUCCACUAGUUUUAGUUCUGGCCCAACUUCUCAACGGCCCCAUUGGAGUUUUGUAGGUUCGGACAUGUCAUUAGCCAGGUAAUUGUAGUCAAUAAAUGUCCAUUAAUUUCGGUCUAUUAGCAGCAUUUUGAGCACCUACAGUACGCUCCUAAAAGUUUUUUAACUACAGAAACCACCCUACCUAAAAAGAUUACAGAAACAAAUAUUUACAACCAAAAACAAAAGCAAAAAAACACAACAAAAAAUAAAUUACAAAGUUCCUAAAUCCCCUCCGUACAGAUUGACAGCGGCAUCUUCCCGUGCCGACCAGUGCUCGCCAGAGGUCCUCCCCAUCGCAGCAACCCUUGUGGCCGGCACGACUCCAGCGUUCUCGAGGACGGCGCUUCGCCCCAUCUUAGCUCGCGUGUGAUGCCCCAGGACCAUGGAGGCCCGGCGGUGCAGACAGAUCUUGUGCAUGUCGGCGCCGUACGAAUUGCCCUGGCAACCUCAACCGCGCACAGGGGACAAAUAUGGCCGGCGACAUAGGGCUCCGUCGUGGUUCAACGGGAAGCCAUCCCAUGGGUGGCGCGGUCCCCGGUCAGGCCUCGAUGGGAGCCACCCCGCUGGCGAUGUAGCCCCCGGUCGGGACUCAACGGGAGGCCAUCCUGCUGGCGUGCCGGCCGCCGUCGCUCCGGAAGUGGAGGCCGUCGCACCUUUUGGCCUUUGGUGACAGCAUGCGCCAUGGCGCAGCUUCCAGGCUGGUGGACGGAGAUGACUAGGCGGCCCACCGCUGAACAAGCAAAGAAUUCGACGGCAUCUUGCGUGGUGGGGAUCCGUUUUGGUCUGGGGAUGGAGGAUGGAAGGUGCUGGGAGAAGGAAGAUGGGGCAGAGGAGUAGGCGAUGGAGAAGUGUCUAGAUGCUCGUGGAAAUUCAGCCGGCGGCUCCACUUGUGGUGGGCAAGAAAGAGUCAGGAUAAGGAACCAGUGUACCACCGUUGGAUUAGAGAAGAUCCGACGGCUGUGAAUGGCGAUCCGCGUGAGGGUGGAGUUAGCCAAUCAGAAGCCACGCUUUUUCUCACAUAGGAAACCCUAGUGGGCUUUGCCAGCACCGAGCAAGACAGCCCAGAUUUUAAAGUAUUCUUCUUUCUAUCUUAUAUACCCUAUCACAAUUUUGGAAGUGAUUUCAUAUUUUCUAUAGUGUAAAUGAAUUGUGGGUUUGUACUGAGAACAAUUCUAAAUUUUAAGUAAAUGUAUCAAAUCAAAUCUAUUUAAAAAAUAUUUAAUGAGAUUACCUUAUAUCUUGAAAAUAGAUUACCUUACAGCUUGUUUGGCUCCCUUCAUUUCAAUUCACUUGUUGAAAUGAAAUGAAUGAAAUGUCUAUCAUGAUUUCAUUUGGUUGAUUCUGGAUUCUAAUUCCAAAUUUCACGUUUUGCAGCCAUUUUGAUAUGUAUUCAUUAACAGACACAAAAAUUAGCACGCAUACAUAUAUCAAGGCAACAGCAACGCGGUGACCUAAAUAGUGCCACUUUUGCAUGUGUUUUGUCCGUUUGGGUGGGCCGAGUGGACAGUCGUGUCCGCCUUUUGGUUUGGGUCGGUUAGUGCGCACAACGCAAGCAACCCAUUUCAAGCGGACAUGGACAUUUCUUUUUUUAAACGACAAGAGCUAUCGGGAGGGGGCUUUUGCGGUCACCGGCCGGGAGGAGCGUCGCUCACCGACCUCCGCCUGCGGGGACGAGCGCCGGCUGGGAGGAGCUCCUAUGAGGGAUGAGCGUCCGGUGGAAAUAACUCCUACGUGGAUGGACGCCAGCAGGGACGAGCGCUUGCAGCCCCCGAGGCGGCAGGGAUGAGUGCCCGUGCGCAACGCGUGCUGGCGGGAACCGGCGCCGACAGGGACAAGCGGCAUGGGUGAGCGUCUUCUAACUCCGCAUUGGUAGGGACGAGCGGCAGGGACAAGCUCCUGCGCGCCGCGACGAAGCGCGCCGGCGGGGAUGAACCAUGCAGGAGGGGCAACAAAUUGCAGAUGUCGGUGCUGCCGGCCUUGCCGCUUGAGGCGCUCGCGGCAGCCGUGGUCUCUGCGCGCCACCGCUGCUGUGGUCAUCGUGUCGCCAGCAUGGAGGGAACACCGCCACCGCGCGAACACUGACAGACACAAGUGGACCAAAUGGUCGCUGCUUUGGAGUUGCCCUCAAAUCUUUAUUGUUCAUGUGUACAACAAUAUUGUGCACUCAACCAUGUUGAUCCACACUACAGUUAGGGACAACUCAAUCUUGACAUAAUGAACCACAAAACAUUUUAUUGAAGUUGGAAAGCACUAAAUAUAGUAUCUGUUGUAACUCUAUUAUAUUUGAAAGUGUUAUUUAGUUAUUUAUCUUAAAUAUGUUUCAUAUAACUUGAGGCAAACAUUGAAGUUAUAAAAAAAUUACAAUCAUCUUAAUGUUUUUCUUGUUUUUUAAAAUAAAUUUGAUGUGGUAUUAAAUGAAUUUCUAGCUAUAUUCUUUAAGUUCCUAACCCAAGCUCACGUUGAACAAUUUCUCUGCAUUAUAUUAACUUUUUGUUGUCACGUGAACAUUUUUUCUACAUUACAUUAAUAGAUUUUUUAAAUGUUACGGACAUAUGAACAUUCUUUAAAUUUCACGCACAUUUUUUAAACGGUGCGACGUAUUGUUUUGAAUUUCAUAAAAAAAUCUUACAUUUUAUAGAAAUUCAUUAAAAGUGGUAUGCACAUUGUUUUGGAAUGCUUGAACAUCUUCUUAAAAUGUUACAACAUUUUCUGAAUUACACGAUUACUCUUUACAUUAUAGAAACCCUUUCAAAAUGACAUGAUUAAUUGUUGAAACACAUGAACAUAUUUGAAAUUUCACAACCAUUUUUUCAAUGCUAUAAACUAUUUUAAAAGUUGUGUGGAAAAUUUACUUAAAUCGUCUUAACAGUUUUGAAUGUGCGGUGAAGGUUUCAAAAAAUGUGAAGAACCUAAUUCUUGAAUAGAUGUGUUUAGAAUAUUUGAAGUAUAUGUGUUUAGAAUAUUUUGAAGUAUAGGAAAAUACAAAGAAAAUGAACAAAAGUACGUCCUUACGUGUGCGUGGUCGGGUGGUAUAGAGUUUUAACCGGUCGUCCUCACUACUAAGUGUGAUUGGGAAAAUUGGGAACUUUACACAUGGAAUUUGAACUAAUGGUACACAAAUCAUUUUAUCUAUGUUGGAAUGGUACAAAAUAGUUUAUGAAUUUAUAAUUUUGUACAUUGUAUAAAUAUUUUAAAAAAUGUCACAUACAUUUGUUUAAAACGCAGAAACAUUUUUUAAAUGUCAUGAACAUUGUUUUUGAAUGCUAUCAACAUUUUUUCAAAGUUGCAAGAACACUAUUUUCACACCGCGUCAAAAAAAAUUAGCACACAGUGAACAUUUUUCUAAAUGAAAUAAAUGUUCUUUAAGUUGUUAAUAAUAUUUCAAAAUAUGCACAAAAAAGGAGCAAUAGAAAAAGGAGUAGAGACUAGCAUGCCUACUUGCGCAGUGUGUGUCUGUCCCAUUUAAGUAGCGAGAGAGGCAACGCUACACCUAGGUCCCCAUCUUUUGUGCUUUAAUAAUUAAAUUUUAUACUGUGGGUAAAGUACUAAAAGUGAAAAGGCCCAUGUACGUUGAGAGUUUGGUUUAAAAAGAAAUGAACAAAAGUANNNNNNNNNNNNNNNNNNNNNNNNNNNNNNNNNNNNNNNNNNNNNNNNNNNNNNNNNNNNNNNNNNNNNNNNNNNNNNNNNNNNNNNNNNNNNNNNNNNNNNNNNNNNNNNNNNNNNNNNNNNNNNNNNNNNNNNNNNNNNNNNNNNNNNNNNNNNNNNNNNNNNNNNNNNNNNNNNNNNNNNNNNNNNNNNNNNNNNNNNNNNNNNNNNNNNNNNNNNNNNNNNNNNNNNNNNNNNNNNNNNNNNNNNNNNNNNNNNNNNNNNNNNNNNNNNNNNNNNNNNNNNNNNAAUAUAACAUUUAUUGUAACUGUAGUAUACUUUAGUUAUGGUUUUCCUAAUUUUAAUCUAUUUUGGCAUAAUGUAUUUUAAAAAUUAUUUUACGGGUUUAAGUUAAAUGAAUAAAUAUCUGUUACUUACUAGCUGCCUAGCAAUAUAAUUAGUGAUGUGCGGCUAUGGGGCACACACAUUAGCAACAUAAUUUUGAAACAGAUGAACUUACAAAAAACACCAACUGUAUUUUUUUGAAUGGUAUGAAAUACUUUUUGAAUAGUACAUAAUAUUUUUUGAAUGGUAUGAAAUUUCAAAUACUAUGUUUGAAACGUGGAAUAUUUUUAAAAUGCCAUGAACUUUUUUGAAUGCCAUCAAGAUUUUGUAAAAGUUGUGCAAACAUUUUUUAACAAUGCGUUAACAUGUUUUGAAUGCACGUUGAACAUUUUUAUAAACGUAAUUAAAUUAUUUUUAUUUUUAAUAUUUAAAAAUAAGAAAGAAAAAUAGAAUAGGAGAAAUAAAAAAUGAACGGAAACUAGCGGGCGUGCGUAGUGUGUGGCUGGCCCAUUUAAGUAGCGCCAGAGGCGAUGCUACCCCACUGCUGCCCCAUUUUUCGCGCUAUAUUUUUCUUAUAUAUUGUACUGUAUGUACUAGUGGGGUUAAGACGUGCUCAUGUUCAAAGUAAGUAUUGUAACCCAGUGCUAAGCUUCUAGCUCUUAAAGCAAGAGGUCCUAGGAUUGAAUCCUAGUUUUCUCUCUUUUUGAAUAAAUUCCAGAACUAGUUUGGGAUGUGCUAUAAUCCCAUCUAUAAUCACGUGUUGUAUCCUAAUAGCUAGUGUGAGGUUUGUGGUCCGCAAAUGUUCCUUUUUAUUCAUAUAUAUAAUAUGACUCCACUGAUUGACAUGUGGGCAAAAUGAGGAGCAGACCUGACAUGUCAGCUUGAUCCAUCCAUGACGGACGGGAUAAUGUAUAUAUUUAGCUAGGCCCAGCUGGUUGAUUUGUGAUGGUAUUCGUGACAGUCUAUCGACGUCCGUCAUAACGGCUUCAUCCGUACGAGGUGCAUUCUCAUCUUACUAAUCCAUGACGGUUUUCAUGACGAACCAAAGAAAAGCGUCAUCAAUAAUGAUAGUUUUUGAGAACGUGACCAGAAAUCCAUCAUGAAUUAACAGGUUUCCUAUGUGAGAAAAAUCGUGGCUUCUGAUUGGCUAACUCCACCCUCACGCGGAUCGCCAUUCACAGCCGUCGAAUCUUCUCUAAUCCAACGGUGGUACACUGGUUCCUUAUCCUGACUCUUUUUUGCCCACCACAAGUGGAGCCGCCGGCUGAAUUUCCACGAGCAUCUAGACACUUCUCCAUCGCCUACUCCUCUGCCCCAUCUUCCUUCUCCCAGCACCUUCCAUCCUCCAUCCUCAGACCAAAACGGAUCCCCACCACGCAAGAUGCCGUCGAAUUCUUUGCUUGUGCAGCGGUGGGCCGCCUAGUCAUCUCCGUCCAUCGGCCUGGAAGCUGCGCCAUGGCGGAUGCUGUCACCAAAGGCCAAAAGGUGCGACGGCCUCCACUUCCGGAGCGACGGCGGCCGGCGCGCCAACAGGAUGGCCUCCCGUUGGGAUGGCCUCGACACCGGGGGCUACAUCGCCAGCGGGGUGGCUUCCCAUCGAGGCCUGACCGGGGACCGCGUCACCUGUGGGAUGGCUUCCCGUUGAACCACGACGGAGCCCUAUGUUGCCGGCCAUAUUUGUCCCCCGUGCGCGGUUGAGGUCGUCAGGGCAAUUCGUACGGCGCCGACAUGCACAAGAUCUGUCUGCACCGCCGGGCGUCCAUGGUCCUGGGGCAUCACAUGCGAGCUAAGAUGGGGCGAAGCGCCGUCCUCGAGAACGCUGGAGUCGUGCCGACCACAAGGGUUGCUGCGAUGGGGAGGACCUCUGGCGAGCACUGGUCGGCACGGGAAGAUGCCGCUGUCAAUCUGUACGGAGGGGAUUUAGGAACUUUGUAAUUUAUUUUUUGUUGUGUUU